rnacentral:lncRNA from 1 species
GUGAAGUUAUCAGGAGCUCUAGUCACAGUGAUAAUGAGCCGAACCGUCUAGGAGAAGUUCAUUCAAAAAGUAGACAUGUAUGGAACAUGCAUGUUACGUGUAUAGUUUUCUUUAAACAGAAGGAGAUACUGUGUGUAUUCUUUUGGACUUGUGGCACCAGAACUUGGUCUCACAUCUGCUGGGCAGUACUCUUUCAGAGUUAGGCCCUCCCACAUCACCCAACCUAGAAAACCUGAAAUUUAUCCAAGGUAGAAAUUAAAAAAGAAAAGGCAGCUUUACCAGUUGUUAGAUCCGUAGUCUAAGACAGUGGUACACUUAACAGUUACCCUUCACAGAGCCACAGUCACACAGAAAAUACUGGCUUCUUAGACUCUCAUUUCACACAGGAGCAACAAAUAGGCAGUACAAACCGGAAGGGAACCCCACAGAAAUCAUCACUCACAAGGAACCUUAAGUUUUUAAUAACCUACUCCCCUUGAACCUCAAGGUUCGAGAUCCAACCAAGUGUCACUUGUUAUCCCUGAUGGGCAGCAUAGUUCUGUUGUGAUUCUGCAGUCUUUCAGGACUGUGCUUUUAGCUCUCAGAUGGCCUUACAGUGGGAUCAGAUGGUCCCUUUCCUCGGAUGUGACCCCCCCUGAGGUUUCCACUGCUCCAAUAAUGCCUGAGUGAAUGCGAAGUGUUUGCACGUUCCUUAGUUAUCAGAAGGUGUGAUUUUAUGCUGUUUUUAUUCUCUUAUUUUAACUAUAGCACAUCAAAGUGUUGCCUGCAGUUAUCUUUGAUAGUAUCAUGUGAGGCUUUUUUAAAAAAAGGUUUGAUUUUAAAUUAUGUGUAUAUGAGGUAAGGGUAUGUGUAUGGGAGUGCAGGUUCCACAAGGAGGCAUCAGGUUCCCCUAGAGUUGAAAGUGAUUGUGAGCCUCCACGUGGGUGCUAGGAACCAAAGCAGGUCCUCUGAAAGACCGGUGCCUACCCAACCUCUGAGCCAUCUCUAGCCCCAAUAUUAUUAUUUAGUUUUCAGACUUUUUGUUUCUUUCAAAUGCUUUACAAUAGGUUGUUUGUUUUUACAUAGCUACCGUGCUAUUUUAAAUAGAGCCAUGAACUUGAUCAACAUCAAGUUCACAUCAUCACAGUGAUUAUCUAUAUAAUUCACCUGUGGGGUAAGGGGUCAUCCACUUCCUCAUCCCAGGCAUUUGCCCUUUGGGUUGUUGCCCACAUUUUCAAGGUCCAUGGAGGAGACCUACCUGUAUCUGUGAUUGGGCCCCUGAGGAAGUGACUAGCACGUGAUGCUGGUCCACCCUGCGAAUCUUCCCCCACCACCUUGAUCAGCAGUGACACCUACGGGGAUGCUGUCUGGUUUAGGCCCCCAGAAAGGCUGUGCUCUCUGCCAGGAGGCCAAAAGGAGCAGGGAAUGGUUUCAUUGGCAGUGCCAGUGUGCUGCCCUGAGCUUGGCCCACAGGAGUAAUUUUAACAACUUUGGCUCACAGAACUGAGCCUGCAGAGCAAAAGAAAAGCAAGCAAACAGGC